UCCACUUUAAUGUGAUGGAGAUACAAGCUUAAUAUAUAUUUAAAUAUGGAAUUUGAAGUAAAUUUUCCAGUUUAAGAUUUUAAAUAAUAUAUGAAAAUAUAAUUUAGAUAAUUUUUUAGUUUAGGUUUAUUAGGUGCCAGCAACCGCGGUCAUACCUAAUAAAUGAGCUUACAUGUUAUAGUAGAGUAGUCAGCCUAAAUAAUUAAUUUAUAUAUAUAGUGAAAUACUAUUAUUACUUUUACCCAAAUUAGGAAUAAAUUUAAGAAAGCCAUAAUUAAAACCAGGAUUAGAGACCCUGCUAUUAUGGGUGUAAUAAAAUGCUAUUAAGGAUUAACACAAUAUUGUAUAAACUUAAACAUUAUGGCGGCUAAAACAAAACAGUUAGGGGAACUUACCAUAGAAUAGAUAACCACCAAGCAAAUAAUACUUAUUAUAAUAAUUUGUAUACCGUUGUCGUCAUGAGCCCUUCUAGAGGGCCUAUAGUUAUAUGUCCUAUAAAAAGAUAAAUCAAGGUGCAGUUAAUUAGUAAGAAAUAAGGUGAGUUACAUUAAUAAAUUUUUUCGAAUUAUAUAAUGAAAUUAUAUAUAAAGGCGGACUUAAGAGUACAAGAUAAAAAUAAUUACUUUUAGAAUUACUAUUGGUUAGUGCA
rnacentral:rRNA from 1 species